rnacentral:misc_RNA from 1 species
GAGCUUGUUCUCAACCACUCCUAGCAACUCCUAGACACUGAGUCUCCCAUAAUAUGCCAAAAUUUUUGAAAGAACAUAGGAUUCAUACCAUCUAGCCUAGGAGAUUUAUCUAGAUGCACCUGAAACACAAUUUUUCUGCAUUCUUCAGUUGUAAAGGAAGCAUGGAGCCUAGAAUUAUCAUGAUUAGAAAUGCAAGGCUCAAUUAGAUAAAUCACAUUAGAAUAAUCCCCUGAAGCUGUAGAAAAUAAAUCAUUAGAAUACUAAAAAAAUGGUGUUUCCCAUUCCCUCCUUAUCUUUUACCCAGACGCCAUUUCUAUCCUACAAAGCAACAAGAUAAAUAGAUUUCCUACGAGAAGAAGCCUGAGAAUGGAAAAUAUGUGUUACUGUCACCCUCUUUAAGCCAGAAGGCCUUAGAUCUUUGCUUCUAGAGAACCUCUUCAUUUGCUAAAAGUCUGUUUAAAUCCUCCUUGAGACCAUACUCAAUAGCAACUUAUAUAUCAUUCUCAUCGCCUCUAAUGGCAUCCAACUCAUAAUAAAUGCAAUUAACAUCCUUUUGGAAAAUUGCACCUAAGAUUUUUACCCUAAUCAUGCAAAUGAAUACCGCAAUUUUUAAUUCUAUCAAUAACCAAAGACCCUACCAAUUC